CCCAAACAUUGACCAAGACUCGUGUCCCUGAAGGGAUCAUAUACCCAUCGAUGUUACAGUCAUCCAUGGAGAUGUGUGGCGCAAGGACAGGCGCCACCGGGUGCAAUCUAAUCCCUUCUUUAAUGACCGCUCGUAGCUUCUUCAACAUGCGUGGCCUCUGCAUGAGCUCUGCGAUGGUGAAUUCAAGGACCAAAGCUGAUGUGUCUAUUCCCCCAAAAAAGACAUCCUGAGGAUUUAUAACAAGGUAAUUUUCAGGACAACAUAUUGGCUCCGAUACUGGGCGCAACUACAAAAGUUUGAAGAAGACGGAGAGUUUAUAAAAGUUGCAUGUUGCAAGCUUGAGAUGACAAUUAUGCAAUUUUGUCAAUUAUGGUUGGAGAUUCACUAAUAGACUUCAAUAAUGUGUUCUCCUUAUUUUAGUUUCGUUACUUAUUUUGUUCAUUGGGUGUUUUCAAUGAUUUAUUGAACUACACUCUUAUUUGAGUACUACUAUGUAAUAAUUGGCUGUAACUCUCUUGAGCAAAGGCCGGGAUGUUAUAUUCCAUUAUCUAAAAAAAAUAAAAAUGAUAUUUAGUUAGCUAUAAUAUGAUAGGGACAGUAGAAAUGCAAACUAAGAAUUGACCAAUGUCGAGAAUGUAAACGUCUCGCUCCAGUGAUCACUUGGAAUUAGUGCCAGGCUGCUAUGGGAGCAAUUAUAGUGGUGAUAGAUUCAUUCAACUUGCACCAGUUUGAUUUCUGCUCAUCUUCCUGGACACUUCCCAUCAAUCUCAUGCAGGUGUUGGUGCAACAGUUCCAAAACAAAAUUACAGAUUCCUCUAAGAAAAACAAAAUGUUGCCCACACAUUGCCAUGGUACCUCAUCACCAAAGCAUGCCACCACUCCCUGUACUGAAUUAUCUGCGAGAUCUACGAUUCGUAACCUUCCAUGCAGAUGAACUGAACAUGAGUGACCCUCCCCCCUUGGGCUGAGAGCCUGAGAUUGCAUCGCCAGGUUUCAGUGGCGUUAAUUCGCGAGUUUUGCAUAAAGUAUACCUAUAAUAUUAUUACAACUUUAAAUAUAUAUGCAUUCGUAAAAUAUAGGAAAUAAUAACAUAGUCAUGUAGGUAUUUUCAUUUCUUGGAUUGUUUGGAGUGUUACUUUUUUAAGAAAGUACAGUGGAGGAGGCCUCCAUGGUAUAAAUAUUAAAAAUAUGGUUUAUGUAAAAAAAAGAAGAGAGAGAAACAAACAAAACCAGAAACAAACAAAACCAAAAAUAAAUCAAAUUACAGAUGGUCAAUCCAUGAUUGCACCAAAGGUCGAUGAAUUUCCAUGAGUGUAGGUAAAUGUAGACUCAAAUCUAUCUUUAAGUUUCUCUUCCAAGAGAGAACAACAGGUUGGACAUCAUUAAAAAUCAAAUUAUUGAUGAUGUGACCAUCAAGUAUAUGCAUACAACCAAGUAUGAGAAAUAUGAAACAUUGUCAAAGAAUACAUCGGAUGAAUAGAGUAUCUACAAGAUAUUAAAGUUCAAUAAGUUUUGGAAUCCAGUUCGGCCUCCGGAGAUAGCACUGACUUCAAACGGACCUAGUGUCUUCAUGUCAAAUUCCGAUCUGGGUGAUCUUGAACUUGAUGGAAAGCUUAUCUCGCUACCUUUUAAACGCAUCCAGUCUCAUAUCCAAAUUCAUUCCGAGUCAACGGAAAUCGUCAAAAUAAGGCAGCGUUGUUACUGAAACCGAAUUCGGGCCUUGUAAUAGACUAGACCCAUCUCGGAAGUGUCUCCCUCCAGCUCCACGAAUUAGCACU